AUCCUCGAUCUGCUGCGGGCAGAUGUAGUGGAUGUGGCUGUCCAUGCCGCCCGCCGUCAGGAUGCGCCCUUCGCCGGCGAUGACCUCUGUCCCCGGGCCGACGACGAUGUCGACACCCGGCUGCGUGUCCGGGUUGCCCGCCUUGCCGAUCUUGUGGAUGCGCCCGUCGCGCAGGCCGACGUCGGCCUUGUAGACCCCGGUCCAGUCGACGAUCAGCGCGUUGGUGAUGACCGUGUCCACGGCGCCCUCGGCGCGGGUGGCCUGGCUCUGACCCAUGCCGUCGCGGAU
rnacentral:sRNA from 1 species